CCUACGGGAGGCAGCAGUGGGGAAUUUUGGACAAUGGGAGCAAGCGCGAUCCAGCCACACCCAGUGCAGGAUGAAGGCGAAGGGGUUGUAAACUGCUUUUGUACGGAACGAAAAGACUCUGGUUAAUACCUGGGGUCCAUGACGGUACCGUAAGAAUAAGCACCGGCUAACUACGUGCCAGCAGCCGCGGUAAU
rnacentral:rRNA from 1 species